rnacentral:rRNA from 1 species
GACGAACGCUGGUGGCGUGCUUAACACAUGCAAGUCGAACGGGAUUUAGUAAACAGAAGCCUCGGUGGAAGAUUACUAAUGAGAGUGGCGAACGGGUGAGUAACGCGUGAGCAACCUGCCUAUGACAGUGGGAUAGCCUCGGGAAACCGGGAUUAAUACCGCAUAAAAUCGUAGAAACACAUGUUUUAACGGUCAAAGAUUUAUCGGUCAUAGAUGGGCUCGCGUCUGAUUAGCUAGUUGGUGAGAUAACAGCCCACCAAGGCGACGAUCAGUAGCCGGUCUGAGAGGAUGAACGGCCACAUUGGAACUGAGACACGGUCCAAACUCCUACGGGAGGCAGCAGUGGGGAAUAUUGCACAAUGGGGGAAACCCUGAUGCAGCGACGCCGCGUGAACGAGGAAGGUAUUCGUAUCGUAAAGUUCUGUCCUAUGGGAAGAUAAUGACAGUACCAUAGAAGAAAGCUCCGGCUAAAUACGUG